GAACCCACAGAAAUGUCUUUAAACAAAAAGUAGAGUGUGCAGAAGAACCUACUGAAUACCCACACUUUUGCUACACUGAUCUGAACUCCUACUACUUUGUUAAA